rnacentral:rRNA from 2 species
GUCGACCGCCUGGGGAGUACGGCCGCAAGGUUAAAACUCAAAUGAAUUGACGGGGGCCCGCACAAGCGGUGGAGCAUGUGGUUUAAUUCGAUGCAACGCGAAGAACCUUACCUACUCUUGACAUCCAGAGAACUUAGCAGAGAUGCUUUGGUGCCUUCGGGAACUCUGAGACAGGUGCUGCAUGGCUGUCGUCAGCUCGUGUUGUGAAAUGUUGGGUUAAGUCCCGCAACGAGCGCAACCCUUAUCCUUUGUUGCCAGCGAUUCGGUCGGGAACUCAAAGGAGACUGCCAGUGAUAAACUGGAGGAAGGUGGGGAUGACGUCAAGUCAUCAUGGCCCUUACGAGUAGGGCUACACACGUGCUACAAUGGCAUAUACAAAGAGAAGCGACCUCGCGAGAGCAAGCGGACCUCAUAAAGUAUGUCGUAGUCCGGAUUGGAGUCUGCAACUCGACUCCAUGAAGUCGGAAUCGCUAGUAAUCGUGGAUCAGAAUGCCACGGUGAAUACGUUCCCGGGCCUUGUACACACCGCCCGUCACACCAUGGGAGUGGGUUGCAAAAGAAGUAGGUAGCUUAACCUUCGGGAGGGC